rnacentral:rRNA from 1 species
UUUGAUUCUUCGGAUGAAGAUCCUGGUGACUGAGUGGCGGACGGGUGAGUAACGCGUGGGUAACCUGCCUCAUACAGGGGGAUAACAGUUAGAAAUGACUGCUAAUACCGCAUAAGACCACAGCACCGCAUGGUGCAGGGGCAAAAACUCCGGUGGUAUGAGAUGGACCCGCGUCUGAUUAGGUAGUUGGUGGGGUAACGGCCUACCAAGCCGACGAUCAGUAGCCGACCUGAGAGGGUGACCGGCCACAUUGGGACUGAGACACGGCCCAAACUCCUACGGGAGGCAGCAGUGGGGAAUAUUGCACAAUGGGGGAAACCCUGAUGCAGCGACGCCGCGUGAGCGAUGAAGUAUUUCGGUAUGUAAAGCUCUAUCAGCAGGGAAGAAAAUGACGGUACCUGACUAAGAAGCACCGGCUAAAUACGUGCCAGCAGCCGCGGUAAUACGUAUGGUGCAAGCGUUAUCCGGAUUUACUGGGUGUAAAGGGAGCGUAGACGGAGUGGCAAGUCUGAUGUGAAAACCCGGGGCUCAACCCCGGGACUGCAUUGGAAACUGUCAAUCUAGAGUACCGGAGAGGUAAGCGGAAUUCCUAGUGUAGCGGUGAAAUGCGUAGAUAUUAGGAGGAACACCAGUGGCGAAGG